UCUUCCCUCUGGCGGCGUGCCUAACACAUGCAAGUCGAACGAAGCUUGACGGAUGAUUUCUUCGGAAUGAAACCAGAUAUGACUUAGUGGCGGACGGGUGAGUAACACGUGAGCAACCUGCCUUUCAGAGGGGGAUAACGUCUGGAAACGGUCGCUAAUACCGCAUGAUGUGUUCGGAUGGCAUCAUCUGAACAUCAAAGAUUUAUCGCUGAAAGAUGGGCUCGCGUCUGAUUAGAUAGUUGGUGGGGUAACGGCCUACCAAGUCUACGAUCAGUAGCCGGAAUGAGAGGUUGAACGGCCACAUUGGGACUGAGAUACGGCCCAGACUCCUACGGGAGGCAGCAGGGGGGAAUAUUGCACAAUGGGGGAAACCCUGAUGCAGCAACGCCGCGUGAAGGAUGACGGUUUUCGGAUUGUAAACUUCUUUUCUUAGUGACGAAGACAGUGACGGUAGCUAAGGAAUAAGCAUCGGCUAACUACGUG
rnacentral:rRNA from 1 species